rnacentral:lncRNA from 1 species
UCCGGGGACAGAUCCUAAAGUUACGCUGAUGCUGAACUUCCCAAAUAGGCACGUGGUGCAGAUGGGCGGCCCUUUGGGGAGGGGGUGUGGGGGGGACCCGAUGCUCCUUUAUCCCACACCGCCCCAUCCCGGUGCUGAGCUGUGUUUGGGAUUUGGGUGCCCGAUUCCCACUCGUCUCCCUGGGAAAGGGGAAACCGGAUCCUGCAGGGCUGCUCAGGAAAACAAAUCCCAGCCCACGCCGUUGGGGAACUGGAAGGCGACAGAACCAGUUCACCCGGGGUGUGUUCAUCACUGGGAGAGCCCUCUUCCUUAAUCCUCGUGGCUCCGGGCCUCGCCAGACUUGUGACCCCAUUGCGUGGAGAUGUGUGGGUCUGGGGGGGGGGGGGGGGGGGACACCUGGUGAUGUGAAGAACCCACUGCCAUCACCCCCCGAGCUGAUGAUGUGCCGACAUUUAUGGCAGUAAUCAGCUCCUGGGAGGGGAAGGGCCGAGCGUUGGGGUGAAGCCAUGGGUGUGCUGGGGGAUGUGCAGCAGUGGGUGGGCUGUGUGUGCUGUGCCUGGGCUGCCACCACGUCCCUGCAUGCCAUGAAUGGGUGGCACCCAUAGGGACACAUCCCCACCUGGC